CUUAUCAAGAGUGGCGGAGGGAACGGCCCUGUGAAGCCCGGCAACCUGCUGAAAGCAAGGUGCCAAAUCCGGCGGUAGACGCAAGAUGAG
rnacentral:ncRNA from 1 species